CUGGGGUUAGUCUAUCUAAGAUUGCGGCUUUGGGAGUUGUAGAAUCCACCCUUGU
rnacentral:tRNA from 1 species